CCUGCUUUCAGUUGCUACCGGGUCACGCCGAGCACUCUGAAAGGACUGCCCAGGAUAACGGGGAGGAAGGUGGGGAUGACGUCAAGUCAGUAUGGCCUUUAUGCCUGGGGCCACACACGUGCUACAAUGGCCGGUACAAAGCGCUGCAAAC
rnacentral:rRNA from 1 species